rnacentral:rRNA from 1 species
AACGAACGCUGGCGGCAUGCCUAACACAUGCAAGUCGAACGAGACCUCCGGUUCUAGUGGCGCUAGGGUGCGUAACGCGUGGGAACCUGCCCUUAGGUUCGGAAUAACUCCCCGAAAGGGGUGCUAAUACCGGAUAAUGUCUUCGGACCAAAGAUUUAUUGCUUUUGGCUCGGCUCGCGAUGGAUUAGCUAGUUGGUAGGGUAAAAGCCUACCGAGGCGACGAUCCAUAGCUGGUCUGAGAGGAUGAUCAGCCACACUGGGACUGAGACACGGCCCAGACUCCUACGGGAGGGAGCAGUGGGGAAUAUUGGACGAGGGGGGAAAGCCUGAUCCAGCAGUGCCGCGUAAGUGGUGAAGGCCUUAGGGUUGUAAAGCUCUUUUACCCGGGACGAUAAUGACGGUACCGGGAGAAGAAGCUCCGGCUAACUCCGUG